rnacentral:rRNA from 1 species
GUAGUCAUAUGCUUGUCUCAAAGAUUAAGCCAUGCAUGUCUAAGUACAUACUUUCGCGCGGUGAAACCGCGAAUGGCUCAUUAAAUCAGUUAUGGUUCCUUAGAUAGUUCAUAUUACAUGGAUAACUGUGGUAAUUCUAGAGCUAAUACAUGCAAAAAGCUCCGACCGUAUGGGAAGAGCGCUUUUAUUAGACCAAAACCAAUGGGGUCGCAAGAUCCCUUUGUAUGGUGACUCUGGAUAACUUUGUGCUGAUCGCAUGGCCUCGAGCCGGCGACGUAUCUUUCAAGUGUCUGCCCUAUCAACUUUCGAUGGUAAGCGAUUUGCCUACCAUGGUUGCAACGGGUAACGGGGAAUG